rnacentral:ncRNA from 1 species
GCGAUAUGACUGACGGUAAGUGGAAAUGACCACGGGGAGUAUCGCCCUGAAUAUGCCGACCGUCUGGGCGCAC